GUCCUUCCCCCAUCCUCGGUCGCCAGCGCUUCUCCGGCAGCCUCGUCCUGAAAUCGUGCGAUUGUGAGCUAGAAGCCUUCUGGGUCACUCAUAAACCAAAGAGAAAAUAAGGCAGCACAUAUUUCCCAUAGAAAUGUGGAAUGUAAGAAAGGCACAUAAAGCAAUCCAAGUUGCCUGCAGAUAUCCACAGCCUACUUCAGUCUCAGUAAUGCUCUUUUAACCUGGCUAUAUGGAGAGUUGACAGAAAAUACAGGAUCAUCAAUCAAUGAUACAGUAAAUACAGAAUUCCUCACAGAUGAUGAAUGUUGUCCUUCAGCGUCUGUGGUCACUUCCACCUUUAACUAAAGUUGGAGUUGGAAGAAAGGCAAUGUGACUCCAAACUUCACAGUACCUCCAUCUUAGACAAACACGACUCUCUCCUUCACCUGCGUGCCAGCUGAGGGAGUUCUGUUCCAUUGCUGUCUCCGGGGACUCUGUCAGUAUAUUUGAUGUAAUACUUGUUUCUGUCCAUAAAACAUGUGAUGAUGAGAAGAUCGCAGUGCAGAUCCAAAAUCAUAUGCUCACUGCAGGCUUGGACUCCCUGCUGGAUGUUGUGUACGUGGAGGGCUCCUGCUUAUGCCACUAGGACAAAAUGACCGCUUUUGCUUAAGAGAUAUAGUUCCUACUGAUUUUUAUAAUUCCAUUAAGAGUCAAUCUUGUUUGGAAUGGGUUCAAUCCUUGCUACUGUCAUUCCAAUAGGAUUUGUUCAAGAAUCUAGGAUAUUUUGAUUAUUUACAGCAUAUUCCACAUUAAACCAGAAAA
rnacentral:lncRNA from 1 species